CGGGGUGUAGCUCAGCUUGGCAGAGCGCUUCGUUCGGGACGAAGAGGUCCCCGGUUCAAAUCCGGGCACCCCGACCA
rnacentral:tRNA from 3 species